CUGAAGCCUUAUUUACAUAAUAUAAUAUGCAAAUGUACUGCUUAAGCUUCACUGACACAAUACAUAAUGACUUCUUUUGCAGCUGCCUCGCAAAUUAAAAGCAGGACUGGGAGAGAUCAUCUCUGAGUGUCCAUGAUAACAUCAUCAGGAACCUGAUUAUCACGAUAUUAUUGUAUUGUAGAUGAUCUGCACGUGUCCUGUCAUGAAGAAACUUAAAGUUGAGGGGUCGCAGGGAACCUGGAGCCUAUCCCACGGAGCAUCGGGCACAGGGCGGUGUACACCCUGGACGGGGUGCCAAUCCAUCGCACGGCACAAUCCCACACCUAUUCAUACACAACGGACAAUUUUGACAUGCUAAUCAGCCUACCAUGCAUGUCUUUGGACUGGAGGAGGAAACCGGAGUACCCAGGAGAACAUGCAAACUACGUAUUGUAAUUAUAUAAGAGAAAAACAAGACAUUAUUGAAAAAAUAUUAACACCCCCCA